rnacentral:rRNA from 1 species
UACGUAGGGUGCAAGCGUUAAUCGGAAUUACUGGGCGUAAAGCGUGCGCAGGCGGUUAUAUAAGACAGUUGUGAAAUCCCCGGGCUCAACCUGGGAACUGCAUCUGUGACUGUAUAGCUAGAGUACGGUAGAGGGGGAGUGGAAUUCCGCGUGUAGCAGUGAAAUGCGUAGAUAUGCGGAGGAACACCGAUGGCGAAGGCAAUCCCCUGGACCUGUACUGACGCUCAUGCACGAAAGCGUGGGGA